GACCCGACUUUGAUUUUCAGAAUCUGUUAGCAUGCUAACGUCCGUGCAUUUACAUAAGACCCAAAGUUUGUCUAUAAAUAGCCACCUCCUAAUCCUGGCAACAUUGUUUUCUCCACCUGCAAACAAAGAAAAAGAAAAUGAGAAGUUGAGAGAGAGAGAGAGUUCAAGAAAAAGAGUGUGAGAAAUCUUUGAAGUGAAGCUAUUAGAGAGUUUUAAUCAUCAAUGGAGCACGCCAUCGACCACUGCACGCCAAGACCAAGUCGAGCUCGUCCCCACCGUUCACAACAGCAAGAAACCGCCGGAGGCCACCAUGCUUCUAAGCUUUGUUUCGGCCGUUUUGGCAAAUCGACCAUAUCUUCCUAACCGUCGCGAAUUUCGUGCAUGCAAGACCACCAUCGUGUUCCUCUCGUCGAGACGAAUCCAUAGCCACCAGAAUCGCCGCAAUCGGAGCUCGGACGAAGCCGUACGCACCCUCCGAAGUUUCGCCGGAAAUCGCCAACGCCACCACCGGACCACUGCUGCUCCGCCGUAGUUCGCCGCCGCCGGAACACCGCUUCUCCGCUGCCGGACCGCCGUUACCGCCGAUUUGGAGUCUAUUUGAGCAUCUGAAGUUCAUAGAUACCACUUCUCUACAUUUUCUAAGGUGAGACAAGCAUCAAUGUGAUACGGGACGGACUCGGUGCUACUGGACUUUUCCUUCGGAUUUUAUUUUGGGCUUGGGCUGAGAGUAUAGUUAGGUAUAUGGCCUUUUGUAUUAUGUGUUAUGGUUGGUGGCCCGCCGUUCACUAUUUAGUGGAGACUGGUGUCACAUUGUUAUUUGUUGAGGUGUCGGUUGACACGUGGCCAUUUAGUUAGAAAGUGACGGGUGUCACAUUUUUGGUAUCAGAGCGCGGUUCCGUCCCGGUUCUGUCCCGGGAUGGCGGUCAGGGGAUUCGGUUUUCAACGUUUUCAAAUAUUUUAUAUAAUAUAUAAUAAUAAAAAAAAAAGUUUUGGAAAUUCUUUUAGCACCAUUCUGUCCAGUAAUUACUAACUCAAUUGUCUCUUUUUAUGACGAUGAGUAAAAUCAUCGUCAUUCGUUCUUCGGCCAAUAGUAAUCUACAAGACUUUCAGCAGAUGUGCGAUGUCUCAGUUUUUCAGAUUGCUCAGGAGUUUAUCCGUUUCUUCAGUCAUUACACCGAGGUUAUCCAGGAGUGGAUAUGUGACGUUUCUGCCACCACCCGAUUUCAAGCCAUCGUCCCACGAGUUUUUGUUACAUGAUUUUUAUGUGAUGUGAGGUUUGAGCCAUUGGUUGGCAUGUGUUGUGUAUGAGUACGAGUAUUGUGAUUAUUUUGGAGGGGUUAUAAACUCGUGGAGAUCGCUUUUGAAUUAGGGUGUGGCAACUUGCGUUGUGUUGAUGUUGGAGUUACACUUAGCAUGCUUGCCAGUUUUUGGAUGUGUUUAUCAUUUCAGAGAUGUGUCAGUUAGACAACUGGCAUAGGACGUUGGGAGCUAUUUAUAUUCAUCGGAGUUGUACUAGUCGUACGUGGAGAGGUCAGGUUAUUCAAGAAUCGUCAGAGUUGGAGCUGAGUUUUAUGAUGUCUCUAUUAAGGUGGAUUGGUUAUCAUGGUAUCAAGUACUGUUGAUUUUUCAAAGGGCAAGAGUUCGGAUUCUUGGAGUAGAUGUUGUUAUUAUUGCAUUAUGCUGAGGAGUUAUUGAUGGAGAUGCAAAUGGAUUUUUGGGUGACCAUUUCGAUGGUUCAAGAUGAUGGACGACAUUAGUCGGAUGACUUUCUAGUUAUUGCUGAAUAUGAGGAUGUAUUUGAGGAUUUUGGAAGACCAUAAGUGGAUAGAAGACACGUUUUUGCAAUUGAGUUGGAACCAAGGAUAGCACCGGUUUCACAAGUUCCAUACGGAUUAGUGCCAGUAGAGAUGGCCGAGCUGAAAAGACAGAUGGAAAAUAAAUCAGACCGGAGUUUUACCAGGCCGAGUACUUCAACGUGGGGAGCGCCAGUAUUGAUCGUUAAGAAGGAAUAUAGAGUUUUCAUGGUUUGUAUAGACUACAGAGGCUUGAAAAUAUAGCCAUUGAGGAUAGUUACCGCUUUCGUCUUUUGAUGGGUUAUUGGAUUAAGCUGCAUGGAGAUUCAUCGUUUUCGAAAAUUGACUUGUCAACGGGAUACCAUCAGAUUGUUACAGCUGAAGAGUGUGUACGGAAUACGGUCCUCCGUACAUGUUGUAGAUAUUAUUAGAUUGUAAUGGUAUCAUUUGGGGAGACGAAUGCUUGGAUAAUAUUCAUGAAACUUAAGAAUAAAUUUUUUCGUGAGCACUUGGAUAAGUUGCAUGAUUGUAUUUAUCGACGACACAUUGAUAUAUUUCUGGAGUAUAUCGGAGUAUGUUGAGCAAUUGCGGAUUUUGUAUUUGACGCAGUAGGAUCAAGUCAUUGCAUAAACAUCAAGUCAGAUGAGGAACAUGGAUAUGGAGCAAUUUGGAGGAACAAUGGAUACUACAGUUGCACGUGAUUGGGAGAUGAGUUGAAGAGGAAACUAGGAAUUUAUUGAGUGCCUACCAGAAUUGUUUCUUAGAUUAACUAUGCAGUAUUUGCGUGAAGAUGCGCUAGUAUGGUGCAAAGGAGUACGAUGGAGUCACAUUGGACAUGAUAAAGUUACCUUUGCAGAUUUUAUCCAAGAGUCGACAUGAAGUACUUUGCAAAAGAAGCUAUGGAUAGGAAGAAGAGCGCCAUCGAGCAUGUAAACCAAAGAACCAUGAUUAUCAAGGAAUAUGAGAUUGGGAUCAGUAGACUUUGAAGAUUUUCUAGAGGUGGCAUUUCAGCAGGAGAACUAAUUAGAGAAUUUUGGAUGAGAUGCGAGUAGAGCUUCACACCAGAUGUUGUUACGUCAAUCACUGCAGAUUGAAAGAUUUAGUGGAGAAAGCUACUCAUCAGGAGGUAAGUCUAGCAGGGAGACAAGAACUUCUUUUAGCAGAUUAGACUAAUUCUAGAAGGGCAUCAUAGUCCCAGAAGUGAGCAGAAAACUAGUAUGGGAAACAGAGUUGUCCCCGUUGCCAUCACCGUCAUAGCGAGAAGUGUACUAAGUUUUAUGUUCGCAGUCAGUCAUCAUAUUGUUUGUGGCCAAUCAUUAUAUGCACGACUUGGAGUUAGCAUCAGUUGCAUUUGCGUUGAAAGUUGGAGAUUGUAAUUGUACGGAACGGAGUUGAGGUUCAUUGGGACCAUCAAAAUCUGAACUAUACGUUCACUCUUUAAAACUUAUACUUUGGGCAGUACUUAUGAUUUGUUUUGAGUUGGUAAGAGUCUACAGAUUGGAUAUCACGUGUCAUUUGGUAAGGUCAACCAAGUGGAACAUGAGCAAUGUCUUAAGAAACAAGAAGGUUCAAGAGAUCACUGGAACACUUGCAAGUUCGGGGAUUAUGUUCAGUUCAGUAGAGGAGGAUACAACUGGUUUUCGAUCACUAGACGUGCAGAUUUACUGUGGAGAGUACACCAAGCACAUGUUAGCGACAUGGCUUUAGUUAAACAGAUCAGGUUUGAGAGAUUUGGAUAUUCUACAGUUUUGAGCCGGAUGUACUUGUGCUAAAACCGAGUUUGUGUGUCGGACGAUAAGCUAUUAAGAAAAUGGAUCUUACAGCAAGUACACCACUUGCGUUUUCCUAUCUGCCCGGAAAAUGUUAAGAAAUUCAGAGAUAUGAGGUGUUAUUAUCUUCGGACUAGUAGGAAAAAAAGGGGUUGUAGCUACAUUGCAUUGCAGCACAAGAUAUGCCAGAUGAUUAUGUAUGAGGACGAGUUACCUAUCAUUGUUAUGUUGAGCUUGCUUUUAUCAGAGUGGAAACGAGGUUUGGUGAUUAUGGAUAUUGUUACUGGAUUGUCGACCACCACAUGCAUAGUCUUGGAUAGACUCACCGAGUAAGUUUAUUUUUUUAGUAAUUAAGG